rnacentral:rRNA from 1 species
UUUCGGGUCCAAACAGGCACACUCAAUCUCAAACCGCGCGCGGUCCGGACGGUGUUGGGCAUUCGUGUUGUGUGCACACCAUACGCGUUCCAAGAACGCUCCCUUUCAGUACGAGAGAAGUACUGCUAACGAAUAUCUUCUCCCUUGCGCGUCUGUUUGACUCCUUGGUCCGUGUUUCAAGACGGGUGAAGAUACCCCAUUUUCGAUGUCAACAUUGAGCAUCACUGGAAAGAUGCGGCUCGCUGCCCCGCCAGGUUUGACGCUAACGAGACAGUGCUCACACCUUUAUUCCAGCUCAUUUCACCAAUCUCCCGUGUCUGCACUUGAGUUUACCGAAGAGGUUUUGAGGUCUCCCCGGAGAAAUGCUUCAGGAGUGGUUUUGACCAAUGAAAUGGAGGCACUUUCAUUGCCAUUGUCACGACUUCAGGUUCUAUGUCACUCUCUUUCCAAAGUGCUUUUCAAACUUUCGCUCACGCUACUUGUUCGCUAUCGGUCUUCCUA